UACAGGGGGUGCAAACGUUGCUCGGAAUUAUUGGGCGUAAAGAGCGUGUAGGCGGCCUGGUAGGUCAGCUGUGAAAACUCGAGGCUCAACCUCGAGACGCCGGUUGAAACCAUCAGGCUAGAGUCCGGAAGAGGAGAGUGGAAUUCCCGGUGUAGCGGUGAAAUGCGCAGAUAUCGGGAAGAACACCCGUGGCUAAGGCGGCUCUCUAGUACGGUACUGACGCUGAGACGCGAAAGCGUGGGGAGCGAACAGG
rnacentral:rRNA from 1 species